UUGCCGGCGACCGGCGCACGGGUGAGUAACGCGUAUCCCACCUUCCGCUUACUCGGGGAUAGCCUUUCGAAAGAAAGAUUAAUACCCGAUGGUAUCUUAAGCACGCAUGAGAUUAAGAUUAAAGAUUUAUCGGUAAGCGAUGGGGAUGCGUUCCAUUAGGCAGUUGGCGGGGUAACGGCCCACCAAACCUACGAUGGAUAGGGGUUCUGAGAGGAAGGUCCCCCACAUUGGAACUGAGACACGGUCCAAACUCCUACGGGAGGCAGCAGUGAGGAAUAUUGGUCAAUGGGCGAGAGCCUGAACCAGCCAAGUAGCGUGAAGGAUGACGGCCCUACGGGUUGUAAACUUCUUUUGUGCGGGAAUAAAGGAGCCUACGUGUAGGCUUUUGCAUGUACCGUAACGAAUAAGCAUCGGCUAACUCCGUGCCAGCAGCCGCGGUAAUACGGAGGAUGCGAGCGUUAUCCGGAUUUAUUGGGUUUAAAGGGAGCGUAGACGGGUUUUUAAGUCAGCUGUGAAAGUUUGGGGCUCAACCUUAAAAUUGCAGUUGAAACUGGAGACCUUGAGUACGGUUGAGGCAGGCGGAAUUCGUGGUGUAGCGGUGAAAUGCUUAGAUAUCACGAAGAACUCCGAUUG
rnacentral:rRNA from 2 species